rnacentral:lncRNA from 1 species
UUUUUUUUUUAAUUUUUUAUUGUGGGUUGUUCAAAACAUUACAAAUUUCUUGACAUAUCAUAUUCCACACUUUGAUUCUAGUGGGUUAUGAACUCCCACCUUCACCCCAUACACAGAUUGCAGAUUCACAUCAGUUACACAUCCAAAUUGUGUUUUUAAAGAUAAGACUUCAUUGUUAUUUCUAAUGUCUUUUAGGUAUGGAUUCUUAAAGUUUCACUGACUUCUCAAAGCCAAACAGAAAGGCCUUUUUUUUUUAAGGAGGUAAAAAUUUGCCUGUUUUACUAAAUUACUUCAUUUUCCAUGGGAGGAAGAGAUCUUUGUACAUUUUCUUGACCCAGAAGUGUUGCCAUCAAUUUUUUUUUUUGCGUCAUAAUUAAGGGCUGUUUCAUGUGUUCCCUACUUUUGGAAAACAAUGGGAAUUUUAAAUAUUGUAAACUAAAAGGCAAACCCUUGUAACUAUUUUAAGGAAAACUCCCUCCCUAAUUCCAGAGGGAGAAAUGUUUUCUUAUGCCAAAAAGGAGUGGGGUACAAGGAAAUGCUGGCAUUUCUUGCCUUCCGUGUCAAUCUCAACACCUGCUUAGAGUUUACUGACCAGAGUUGUGUCUAUUGUCUCUGAAGCCUGACGGGUAAACAGAUGUUGAUUGGCAUGGUGUGGGAGGGGGAAAGUCUAACCUGACCAGAUACCACAUGCAGAGCACCCUGGUUGCUCACCUUCCCUUUCCAAAGUUCAUGACCACCUUGGCCCUGGGAUAGCCACUGCCAGGCAUGCAAGGAACAGCUAGACGUGGCCAGGUCCCAGGCUUCUGUGUUCUCAGGUGGCCAUUCUACAUCGCAUCUGGGGCGUCCCAUCCCUCCACCUCCCCAUUCCAACUGCCCCAUAGAGCCGGUCUCAGCAGCCUUAUUCUACACACUGAUCUUCCAGGCUCCCUUCCUGCAAAGGAAAGUUAUUUGCAGAAAUCUAGGCCAAACAAUUGGUAGAAUAAAGAUGUCUAAAGUUAUUUAUCAUAAAUUCAGGGAAAUGGAUGAAAUUUUUCCUGGCAUAGUCAGCAUGGAUGUUUCACAACAAAUCAAAAUAGUUUUCCAUUUGGAAAAGUGACCGUGAUUGUUAAAGCAUAAAAUCAUGGGCUUUAGCUGAUCAUUCUACAAAUGUUUCCACUUUAGAGAAAUCAUAGGAAAGUACCCGUUUACUACACAUCCCUCAGGGAUCUUGGAGGUAUUUGUUAGAUUACCAAAUCAAGUACCCCGAGGGAUCCCAUGUGUGUUGUGAAUUUGUUUUUAUUUCCCAGUGACGAGUCACACAUACUGCGGUAACCCUGUUCAUUAUUUAUAUCAGGUCAUGUAACAAGCAAAUAUUCAACAGUUAUGGAUAUGAUACUAUGAAGUAUUUUGUAUGAUUGUAUAUACUUAAUAACAAAGUUAUUUUUCUUAUUUGGCUCUA